rnacentral:rRNA from 1 species
ANGGAGCGUAGACGGNGAAGCAAGUCUGGAGUGAAAACCCAGGGCUCNNCCCUGGGACUGCUUUGGAAACUGUUUUGCUAGAGUGUCGGAGAGGUAAGUGGAAUUCCUAGUGUAGCGGUGAAAUGCGUAGAUAUUAGGAGGAACACCAGUGGCGAAGGCGGCUUACUGGACGAUAACUGACGUUGAGGCUCGAAAGCGUGGGGAGCAAACAGGAUUAGAUACCCUGGUAGUCCACGCCGUAAACGAUGAAUGCUAGGUGUUGGGGGGCAAAGCCCUUCGGUGCCGUCGCAAACGCAAUAAGCAUUCCACCUGGGGAGUACGUUCGCAAGAAUGAAACUCAAAGGAAUUGACAGGGACCCGCACAAGCGGUGGAGCAUGUGGUUUAACUCGAAGCAACGCGAAGAACCUUACCAAGUCUUGACAUCCCCCUGACCGGUCAGUAAAGUGACCUUUCCUUCGGGACAGGGGAGACAGGUGGUGCAUGGUUGUCGUCAGCUCGUGUCGUGAGAUGUUGGGUUAAGUCCCGCAACGAGCGCAACCCUUAUCCUUAGUAGCCAGCAGGUAAAGCUGGGCACUCUAGGGAGACUGCCAGGGAUAACCUGGAGGAAGGUGGGGAUGACGUCAAAUCAUCAUGCCCCUUAUGAUUUGGGCUACACACGUGCUACAAUGGCGUAAACAAAGGGAAGCGACCCUGCGAAGGCAAGCAAAUCCCAAAAAUAACGUCCCAGUUCGGACUGUAGUCUGCAACCCGACUACACGAAGCUGGAAUCGCUAGUAAUCGCGAAUCAGAAUGUCGCGGUGAAUACGUUCCCGGGUCUUGUACACACCGCCCGUCACACCAUGGGAGUCAGCAACGCCCGAAGUCAGUGACCCAACCGAAAGGAGGGAGCUGCCGAAGGCGGGGCAGGUAACUGGGGUGAAGUCGUAACAAGGUAGCAAUCACUAGUGAAUUCGCGGCCGCCUGCAGGUCGACCAUANGGGAGAGCNCCCA